CGUGAGGUUGUUAGGCACAGGCUUCAGUACCUGGAAUGUCAUAAUUUAGCGGCCAGACUUGGGCAGACAUUAUCUGUUGCAGAUUCACCACCCGGUAAGGUGGCUGUACCUUAUGUGCCUCAGAUGUGUUUGGCAGUAUGGCAUCCUUCUCCUAAAUUCCAUCAGGUUGAAACUGGGGCAUGGUCUGAGAGCUCUCGGAAUGAUGGAGUCAGAAGACAGCCUGAUUGCUGCCUGAUCCCCCAGGCAUCGGCCUUAAUGAAGACUUAAUUCAGCUGCGCUGUGCGCGUCGUCAGCCCCGGCCCAUGUGUUCUGUGGGUUCCCAUUCCACAGUGGGGCACGGGGGUGGCAGGGAGCCCUUAACGGCUAUGAGGACAGAAGCAAGGCGACUGCAGAGAUGACUGCUACCUGAAGGAAGACAAGUCAGAGCAAAGCUGCUGUCCCCUCUCCUGUGCUCAGAUGAAGGACAUUAUCAGUAGCGGCUGCUGAGCUGAAAAUUAAUGGGGUGGAAAACUUCUCCUUAAACUGAUUAUUGCACUCAACCUGUUUUCAACCAUUUUGCUUGAUUAACAAUACAACAAUUAAUUCACAAAAUACUCAAUACUAUCAAAUAUAGGCAGACUUCCUCAAAUGGACUAUUAAGCCCGUAAUAAAAUUCUUUGUACUUACAUCACAAAA